AUGAGAUACCUUGGGCUGCCGUUGUCCGUUAGGCGUCUCAAGCGGAUUCAUUUUCAACACCUCGAGGAUAAGGUGGCUAGCAAGCUCCCCCCUUGGCAAAGCAGACAUGUCGCCACUGCGGGUCAGGCCGUUCUUGUUAAGGCCGUCCUCACCGCUAUUGCCAUAUAUCACCUGACCCCUCUCGACAUCCCGGUCGAGGUUCUGAAAAAAAUUGAUAGUCUACGGCGCGCCUAUCUUUGGGCGGGCACAGAUACAGUUUCCGGUGGAAAAUGCAAAAUAAACUGGGACCUUGUUUGCAAGCCGAAGAAGAAUGGUGGCCUGGGCGUGUUAAAUUUGGCCAAAUUUGCUAAGGCUCUUCGGAUUAGGUGGCUUUGGUUGGAGUGGAAGGAUCCCACAAAACCAUGGAUCGGUAUGGGCACGCCGUGCACAGAUGAUGACCGGGCGUUUUUUGCGUCUGCCACGCGCGUCACGGUGGGCAACGGACGAAAAAAGGCAACCUGGUGCAUGUAG
rnacentral:rRNA from 1 species